GAUGAACGCUGGCGGCGUGCCUAAUACAUGCAAGUCGAGCGAACAGACGAGGAGCUUGCUCCUCUGAUGUUAGCGGCGGACGGGUGAGUAACACGUGGAUAACCUACCUAUAAGACUGGGAUAACUUCGGGAAACCGGAGCUAAUACCGGAUAACAUGUUGAACCGCAUGGUUCAACAGUGAAAGACGGUCUUGUUGUCACUUAUAGAUGGAUCCGCGCCGCAUUAGCUAGUUGGUAAGGUAACGGCUUACCAAGGCAACGAUGCGUAGCCGACCUGAGAGGGUGAUCGGCCACACUGGAACUGAGACACGGUCCAGACUCCUACGGGAGGCAGCAGUAGGGAAUCUUCCGCAAUGGGCGAAAGCCUGACGGAGCAACGCCGCGUGAGUGAAGAAGGUCUUCGGAUCGUAAAACUCUGUUAUUAGGGAAGAACAAAUGUGUAAGUAACUAUGCACGUCUUGACGGUACCUAAUCAGAAAGCCACGGCUAACUACGUG
rnacentral:rRNA from 1 species